CUCAUUUCUUCUAGUUGUCACUUCUCCUGGUCCUGCAAGAGCUUACCCAACAGAGCAAAGUGUGGUCACCGCUGCUGAUUCUAUGAAAGCUUUUCCAAAAGAGGAUAGUGAGGUCACUGCCAUUAAUUCCACAAAAGCUUGUCGGACAGAUGGUAUAAACGCCCUGCAGCUUCAGCUCACCAUCACCUCUGCCUACUACACCUACGUCCUCCUCCUCCUCAAGAGCGUGGUCUACUUCGCCAUCUUCGCCUUCUGUCUGUUAAGGAGAACAGCAGUCUUUGGCAAUGGAGAGUGUUCUAACAGCUGGUGGCACAAAGAAGUCAACUUUUCUUCGUUUAUUUUACGUAAAAGUUUCUCCUGAGGAUCUAGCUGGGCUUUCACUCUGGGUUUGGUUAUUUCAGUUCACGUGUGUACUUUUCUAUUAUGUCAUUAUUGUGUAAUGGUUUCUCAAACCACUGGGCAAACAGAAAAUUUUACUCUCUAACAAUGAAUUCUGCCAUUACUCCAGGGCGAGGCCAAGGGAUAGUCCUUUAGCACCACUGUCUCCAUGAUCUCCAUCAGCUCAUGCAGCAACCCAAAUAGUGAUGCCUUCAGAGUACAGACAGCAUGCAGCUUCUAGUCAUAUCCCUUAGUGCCCUUUACCCAGAUGACUGCCUUGAAGUCUUCCAUUUUACAAAUCCUGA